rnacentral:lncRNA from 1 species
AUGCCCAGCAGAGCCAGGUUUACCGUAUGCCAGAGGGGGGUCCCGAUCGCGACCCCUGCAGCUCGUUCCUGCGGAGGGAUGGGGGCGGGGAGCACACCGCGCACAGCGCGUCUCCUACGGUUUGGGGGUUCAUUUACCCCCAAGCACACCCACCCGCCGGGUCACGCGGGCCUUCGCGGGGUCGUCGUCCAUACGCAGGCCCGGCUGCGCCCGCGGCAGGGAUCUCGGCCAACACCUAGUGAGCCCAACGCCGGGCCAGGCGGCGGAGCCGAGCCGGGGACGCUCGUACCGAGGGGUUCCGGCGCUGGAGCCGCCGAGCCGGUGCCGGGUCCGAGUCCCGAGUCCCAGGAAUGCGGGAGGGCUGGGCGGAGCGGGCGGGCACGGCGGGGGCGCUUCCUCUGCCCGCCCGAGGGGAGCCGCCAGGGCGCGCGCUGGGCGCGCCCCCGCCCCCUCCCCGCCCGGCCGGCCCGCGGGGAGGGGGCGGGGGCGGGGGCGGGGGUGGGGGCCGUAGCGGGAGGGCGGCGAGGGGCCGCGGAGCUCGGCAGCCGCCGGGCCGGCCGGGCGGGAGGAAGCGAUGAAUAUUCAGAGGGGGAGGGGAAGGGAGGGGGCCGGGCGCUCGCCGCGGCUCCCUGCAGCCCGAGCCGCAUGACGCGCGGAGGAGGCAGCGGGAGCCGCCGGAGCCGCCGGAGCCGCCGGAGCCGCCGGAGCCGGGAUCGGGGCGCCGCGCGCCGGGGGUGGGCGCCGCUCGCUCCGCCCCGCGAAGCCCCUGCGCGCUCAGGGACGCGUCCCCCCCGCGGCAGCCGCGCCAGGCUCCGCGCUGUGGCCGCCGCCGCCGCCGCCGCCGCUGCCAUGUCCCCGGGGAAGCCCGGGGCGGGCGGAGCGGGGACUAGGCGGACGGGCUGGGGGAGGAGGCGGAGGAGGCGGCGGCUGGAGGCGGCGACGCGGGCGCCCGGGCUGGGGCGCACGGCGGGGCCCGGCUCGCGCGUCCCGGGCACGUUCCAGGGCGCGCGGGGCAUGAAGCGGGCGGCGCGGGAGGCGCGGCCGCCUCCGCGCUCGCCGGGGCUGCGCUGGGCGCUGCCGCCGCUGCUGCUGCUGUUGCGCCUGGGCCAGGUGAGCGGCUGGGUGGGCCCGGGCUCGGGCCCGGGCGGGCGCGGGCGCGGGCGCGGGGGCGGGCGCGGGGGGCAUCCCCUGCACCUGCCCGGGUGUGCCGGGCCGCCGGGGUGCGGGGGAGGUGGCGGGGGCCCGAGAGCCGCGAGCCCCCUUCGCCGCAACCCCGCCGGCCUGGCGCGGGCCCCGGGGGGCGCGGGGCGGGAUCCGGGGUGCGGGGGCCCGGGGCCUCCGGGCGGCUGCCCCCGCGCGGGCUGCGGGCCCCCUCGGGCCCGGCCCUCCUCGGAGCUGGCCACGUCUGGCCGGCGCGGGCCCGGCUAG